rnacentral:misc_RNA from 1 species
GAAAUGCGAUACGCAAUGCGAAUUGCAGAACCGCGAGUCAUCAGAUCUUUGAACGCAAGUGGCGAUAGCUAUGGCUAUCAUGUUUGCUUCAGUGUAUCCGGUUAAUUACAUCAAAGAACUUAAUGUGAUUGAAGCAAUUCUCUCACCAAGUACGAAGUUAUUUUAGUGUAACACCUAACCGAAGUAGUCACUAAAUGGUGAUAAUCGUUUAGAGUGAAGCAUUAAUAAACAAUAACUUGAUAAGAAUUUAUCCACUAAUGGUACCUGAAGUAAGCAAGACUACCCGCUGAACUUAA